UGCGUAGGCGGGUUUUUAAGUCAGGGGUGAAAUCCUGGAGCUCAACUCCAGAACUGCCUUUGAUACUGAAAAUCUUGAGUCCGGGGGAGGUGAGUGGAACUGCGAGUGUAGAGGUGAAAUUCGUAGAUAUUCGCAAGAACACCAGUGGCGAAGGCGGCUCACUGGCCCGGUACUGACGCUGAGGCACGAAAGCGUGGGGAGCAAACA
rnacentral:rRNA from 1 species